rnacentral:lncRNA from 1 species
GUACUCUGAAGGCUCCUGACCCCCAGAUGAGCAUCCUUGUGUCCGUUAACUUCUGUGUUUAUGAACAGGUGAGGCCAGAGACAGGCAGACAGCAGAUGUAUUGCAGGGAGCUGGAUGACAUGGCCCUUGGAACCUGUGCACAUGCCUGCCUUUCUGAUGCACGUCCAUGUUUUCUCUGCACCUCCCCGGUGGUGUUGGUAUAAAAAGCAGGCUUACAUCAGCAAGGGAUGAUUGUCGUCUCAUGCGAUCCUGGGAGAUGGCAGAAGUCCCGGGACACAUGGAGUGUGGGCUCUUUCGGAGGCUGUUGGAUCCCUCCUGAAUGUAAGUGAUUCCUUCUUAAAGCAUGCUGAUUUUCCUCAUUUGCAGGGGCAAGGACUGGAUCGAUGAUGACUUCCAUAUGUACAUUCCUUGGAAAGCUGAACAAAAUGAGUGAAAACUCUAUACCGUCAUCCUCGUCGAACUGAGGUCCAGCAUACUGCUCAUCAGGGGCUAGAGAGAGGGACAACAUCCGUUUGUUGACAAGGGCUGUGUCAACACUUGGGAUGGGGUCGUCUUUGGGUGAAGUGGAGUAGCUGGGCAUUUUGGACUUCUGUGGCUGAGAGACAGCUUAGUUGAAGCACUUCCCUCUGCGCAGCUAUGUGUGUCCUUGAUUCAAACUCCUUGGCUCCUGCACUCCCCAGAGGAAGACAGUGGCUUCUGCAUGGGGACACCACACAAUGUUGUUCCUGUGCACUUCUUUGGUUCACUUUCACCCUCAUUUGGGGACGUGGCAGUUCCCAUGGUGUUUAGGUAGCAUUGAGGGCAGGCAGUCCUCAGGAGGAUGUUGAUGCUGAUUUGCUUUCUGCAGAGGAGCCAGAGAGGGUAUCCAUGUUGAACUUGUAUAUCCAUAGGAGGAAACCAGUCCCAUGGCCCCUGAAGGGUCCUGGCAGUGGGAAGGGGAGAGGUCUGCAUGUGCAUGUACUGGACAGCAUAUUCCAUGUGGGUCAUGGAGUGAUGACUGUGGGCCUCUUUCGGGCAUUGUAGCAGGCCCCCAUUUCAUUUCAUGAUGACCUCGGGGUGCUGGGACAGGAAUGUGAUUGCGGGUCCACGUGCUUCUGCAACUCCUCAGACUGACUUGGUUUGGAAGGUCUGUGUUCAGGACCCUCUGUGAGAUGCUUGUCUCCAUUAGGCAUUUGAGCUUAUAUCGGCCCAGGGUUUCUACCUAUCGUAGGUUGUGCAUACUUUGCCUCUGAACCACUCAGGCACCUCGAUGCAGUCAACGUGCCCGAUUAUAAGAGUGUGACUUCCCAUAUCCUGGUGAUCUCUACUCGGAAACAUGGUCCAGGAAGGUCUCUGUGCUUAAAUACCUUAGUAGCUCGUGAUGUUAGGUUAUUUUCUAAUUCCUCCUAAUUCUUCCCAGGAGUCUUCUUUGUGAAAUAGUCAUCUUGUUGUAGGACAGGGCUGGUAUCCACAGGCAGUGAUGCAUAGGUUUUGCACUGCGCGGCCAUGUUCAAAGGCAAGUGCCUUAAAAUGUAUGGUGUUCUCAGCCACAGUGCCUUAGAAGCCAUGUGGGAUUCAGUGUGUCUGGUGGUCCUCUGAGCUGCACCUGUGAGGAAGACGCUGAGGUAGAGGUUAAGUUGUUAUUGAACGUUUUUCUCAAUCUGAAAAGUGUUCAAGCAGCCCAGGGUGAAAAGUCUUCAAGACUGAAGGAAAAUUGCCUUUUGUACUGGAAGAGUUUUUCCCCAAAACUCUCCUCAUUUAAAUAGCCCUGUGGCUUGUGUCUUCUCUGAUGACCAAGAGGAGGGCUUUUGAGUCAGUGAUGGCAAAUGAGUGGUUUUGAGAGAGUUCUUACACUUAGGGCUCUGUAGCUUGAUGGUGCCUUCAAAAUUAACACGUGCCUGCUAUCUUCAUUCCUGGGUAGACCCAUACACCCAUCCCAAAAGGGGAGUAGCCUGUGGGAAGCACAUAUGGGAUAUACCACAGUGAGUCGAGUGGAAUGGCCCUUUUGACAUGUGUACCUGCCUCCCGUUCUUAAGCACACCCGUUUUUCCUCUGCACUUCCCAGGUGUUGUGGCCAUGGAAGUAAGGCCAGUGGCUACGAGGGACAGUCUUCAUCUUGGGAGAUCCCUAGAGAGGGCAGGGAGCCCCUUGACAUGUGGAAUGUGAUCUCUGUUGGGUGCUGGUGGAUCCCACAGGUGGUCUGGCAUGGAAGAAGGCCAGAGGCUGCGAUGGAUCAUCUUUGUCUUGGGAGAUUCCUGGAGAUGGUGGGGAGCCCCUGGGCACGUGCAGCAUAUGUGGCGUGGGCUUCUUCAGGUGCUGGUGGAUCCCUCAGGAUGGUAAAUGUCCAUUUUCCAAAAUCUUCUGAUAUUCCAUCUUUGUAGGUACAAAGACUGUGCAUGGAUCGAUGAUGACUUUUAUACAUGCAUUCCUUGGAAAGCUGAACAAAAUGAGUGAAAACUCUAUACCGUCAUCUUCGUUGAACUGAGGUCCAGCACAUUGCUCCAACAGUGGGUAGAUAGAGAGGGAAAACUUCCAUUUGUUGACGCAGGUUCCAUUGAGGGGUUUGUCCAGGCUUAGGAUGGGGUCCCCUUUGGGCAAAGGGAGUCACAGGGGAGUGCGGCCUCCUGUGCACAGGAGAUUCCUUGUGUGAAGGAUUUACCUCUGUGAGAGCAGGGUAGCACACAUAACUAUGCAGGAGCAGGUGAAUGUGCAGGUGGCACAGGAAGAGUUAGAUGGCAGCCUGUCUCUGCACAGCGAGGUUUGACUUGUCCUAGCUCUGCAUUCCCUCAUCCCUUAGAGGAAGUUGGUUUCUUCAGAAGACUUAAAUUUGUGGAAUUCAGUAGAAUAUUAUCCACAUAAUGUUCCCAGUGAAUGCUAGGCAUAUCACCCAAGAUGGCCAGGCCUCUGGCCAUAAACCAUAGUAAAUAGUAGGGUGUGCAUAUAUCCAUUAGGGAGAACCUGAAAGGUCCUUUUUUGGCCCUCCAAGGUGAAUGCCUGCAAAAGCAAGCGAAGCACGCUAUCUGCCUGCAUGAGCCCCAUGUACCUGGCGUGGCCUGUGCUCCUCACCGUGUGUCCCACUUCUGCUGCCCCUUCGCCUUGCCAGGUGGAGUCUGACUGAUUUUUUGCCACUGCUGCCACCACAGGCCACCUGGAGCCCCAGCCAGUUUGAGGAAAGUGGCUCUGCUUGAUUUUCCUUUUUUCUUUUUUUUUCCUCUUUUUUUCUCCAUUUCUGACUUCAGCAGGUGGGACUUGGAGCUUCUGCUUCUGCAGCCACAGAAGACUCCCCAGUUUGGAGGGCUGUGGUUGUGGGCUCCCUAAGCAUCUCUCUGCAGAGCCUCUUUGUUUUCCAUUUUACCCACCAUGUCAAUAAUUUAACACAGUGGCGGAGGAGUUCAUGUCUCUUCCUAUUUGUCAUUACUCUUCUAACUUUCACAGCUGUACUCGGCUACUGGUCAGAAUAAGAGAAAAAGCAGUGGAACCAGGAGGAUCCUACAAGAAAUAUUCCAUUUCACUUUUGUUUGUGCAUAUACCUUUUCUGUUUAAAUGUGGACUUCGAUUUGAUAUGCUUCCAGUGCAGACACAGAUCCCAUAUGUAAGAGAGUAUGGAGUUGCAUAGAAAGAAGACUUGUCAUUUUCCUGUACUGUUGGUGUUCUAAUCUGUCUUCGUGGUUUUUGCCUCUUCUGGCUUUAGAAGAUACACCAACAUGGUUUUGCAACAUAGCCUCUUCUUAUUUUAGUAAGGGACCAAAUGUGCAUGUCAGUAACAGGUGUUACCUUGAAUUGGGAUCAGUGCUUGUGUGACUAUAUUCAGUGAUGUCAUUUUCUGUCACACUCAAGUCACAAAAUAUUUAACCACUUAUUUUUUUAUCUCUGGAGGAAUAAUCCAAAAGAUUGUACUGGUAAAGCCAGAACAAUUUCCAAUUAUGCUAAUUAUUUGUAUAAUACUUAGUUGGCUUUAUCUGUGGUUUGUUGGCUUAUUUUCCUGUAGCUUUUCAAGGUUUUUCUAUGAGUUCUGUUAAAGAGUCUGAAAAUGGAGCGUAGAAGACAUGCUUCGAUUUCCAGGAUGGUUGUGUUUUCCAGAGAGGCGGAGGUAAACCACUGGCGCAGCCCUGCCUCCCACAGAUAAUUCCGGGUGCAGUGUUUCAUAUCUAGACUUGGACUUCUAUCCUACCAUACUUCUUUGUGUGCAGUUCAUUGUGGAACCAGCACAGAUUUUCAUACGAAAGUUAUUUCUUUUUAACCUCAAAAAGUGACAGAAUGGAGUGUAUCAUGAAAAAGUCUGACAUCAAAACCUCAAAAUGUGAUAUUGAUUGGGUGAGAUAGAAUUCCAUGGAAUUUCAUUGCCAAACCAGUGAAGUGCUAAUUUUGACAUUUGUACCAGCUAACGUAGCUGUGAAGAAACACACCAAUACACUUCUAAGGACAGCAUAGACCAAGAUCUAGGUUUCAUAUGGAUGAAUUUAUUCUUCCCUUUGAGGCAAGACAAGAAGGAAAGAAAGUAUUGGGAAUAAUGCUGCCCUCCCAUCCUCAAGGGCCAGUGGGAACUCUAAUAUUGAUUGGGUGAGAUACAAUUCCAUGGAAUUUUACCACUGAACCAGUGGAGGGCUAAUUUUGUCAUUUGUACCAGUUAACUAACUUGGGAGGAAACAGAACAACACACUCCUGAGAUUGGUUUUCACAGAAUUCCAUGGACUUUAACUGCUGAACCAAUGAUGCACUGAUUUUGUCACUUGUACCAGCUAACGCAUCUGGGAGGCAACAAAACAAUACUCUCCUGAGGUUAAUGUGGACCAAAAACUAGAUUUCAUAUAAAAGAGUUUAUUCCUUCUACUUGAGGUGUGACAUGAAGGAAAGUAAUGGAAAUAAUUCUGCCCUCCCAUUCUCAAGGGCCAGGGGGAAUUCAAAUAUUGAACGGAAGUGAUUUUGGAAUUGCAUGGAAUUCUCACUGCCAUCCCAAAGAAAUGCUGAUCUUGUCACUCUUACCUGUUUCAUUCCCUGGGGGCAGAACAAAAGGACGCACUCCAAAGAUCGGCAUGAACCAAGAACUGGGUUUCAUAUAAAAUAUUUUAUUCUGUCCUCUUGAGAUGUGACAUGAGAAAAGUAUUGAGAAUACUUCUAUCACCUCAUCUUCAAGAAUCCGUAGGAAUUCUCCCAUGGUGGACUUUACGGUUAACCUGAACAGGUCUUGGAAAAAGGACUUUAAACAUUCUCCUGUUCUGUGGAAUAAGUAUACUUUUUUCUGGACAUACACCUUGUCAGUGAGUUCCAUGUGAUACUAGAGUUGCAUAGAUUUUUAACCUUUACGCCAAUGAAGAUCUGAGGCAAACAUUGCCCCUUUUUUAGAAGUUUGCAUUUGUCACUGAUAACUGUAAUAAUUGAUCUUGUUGAAAAGCCUGGGAAAUGAAGAUCUGAUAUGUCACUUUUACCGGCUUCCUCAACUGAAAAAGAAUACAAUGAAACACGCUGAGAAUUUUUGUGCUUUCUCAGUCUUGCUGAUGAUCUUUCUAUGGGCCUGAAGCGUGGAGAGUGCCAGAGAGGCUGAUCCUCAGCAGUGUGGCAGAGGAAAGUUGGGUGCGACUAAGGGGUAUGCGGUGCCCACAUGCCACUGGGUCCUCAGCAGUACCACCUGAUUGGAAGUGAUAUUGGUGGAAGACAACAUUUUGCCGCUUGGAAUUCUCACCUCCACACCAAAGAAGUACUGUUUUUGUCAUUUGCACCAGCUUCUUUCUCCAGGAAAGAUCAAAACGAUGCACUGCAAGUGUGAUUGGUCCAGAUAGCUGCCUUAUCCAACUGCCUCCUUUGGACCACUUCAUCAUGGGACAGCUUGAUGCAAUCUACUUGACAAGACCCUGGAACCCCACACCCCUCAUGGAACCAGUGUCCACCUCCCAGUCACAGUGUGACCCCAGGGAACUCUUGCCUGCUUGCUUUAAACCCACCACUUAAAAGUCUCCACAGAAAACCUGUUUGAAUAGUACCCUUGACCCAAUAAGGGCAUUGGCCCCUGGGUGUCUCUCUCUCUCUCUCUCUCUCUCUCUCCCUCUCUCUCCCUCUCUCUCUCUCGCUCCCUGACCUCUGCGUGUGGACUCCAGGCAUGCCAUAUACCCCUCAGGACCUGAAGCAAAAGAAUGAAUUAAAGAAAACUCCAGAGAAUGAGCUGACAACCUACUCCCUGGUCAGUGGCUCUCCAUGCCUACCUGUGGUCUCUUGGACACCCUUGCAGAAGAUGACUUCCUGGGAACUCUUCUGGGAGUGAAUGUUAUCAGCAAAUUCCCAAAACAACACCCCUUAGACAAAAAGCCUCCUCACCUAUGCAUUGCCUAGACCACCCACUAAAGGUGAUGGCCACAAAGAGGUGGAUUUGUUGAGUUGGUGCCAUUCCUUCUACUGCCAGCUUCACCAAAACAAUGACACAGUCUUCCUUCCGCAUGGAGACUCUUCUCUUUCCUGUGUUGCAGUGGAUGCCUCCUGCAGAUAAGAAAUGCUUAACUGAGAAAUGCUCAUGUUGGGAUAUCAUCGAUGAGACUUUAAUUUGGGCAUGGUGACUGUUUCCCUUGCUGCCACUUGACUCAAUCCCAGGAGCCUCAGUAGAGGAUAUAAUAUUACACAAGAUGCUCAAAAUGGUGGAAUUGCUCAGUGCUCCCAUAAAUAUACAUUUAUAAUUUUCAUUUGCCACAUGGUAAACUGAAAAAUACAGACUAUAUUAAAAAGAAACUGCAUGAUUUUUUUUCAAAAAUUCAAAGCAUAUUUAAAUAAUAUAUAAAUUAAAUGCCCUCCUCUCUUCCAAUUCUGUCCCUAUAGUUUUCCUCUAUUAAGUGAACUACAUGCAUUCUUUUAGUGGAUAGAUGCACACAAACACACAAGCCAUUAUGGGGAAGGAUCCACGUGUGUGGCCAUAUUGUAACACAUUUUUCUGCAAAUCACCUCUUUCAUUUAACAGCCCUUAUUCAAUGGCCUUUUUCUUUUUCAGUAGUACAUACACAUCUGUGUCAUUUGUUGAAUGACGACAUGAAUGUUUUGUAGAUAAAAUAUAAUUAAAUGUUUUAAGCAUUUCUCACUCAUAGAUAUUUAUGUUAGCACCAAAUUUCUGUGCAAUGAACCUCCCUAUAUAUCAGUAAUUUUGCAUUUGUCUAUAAUAUCAUAAUAAAUUACUUAUCAGUUGAAUUACUGGGAUUAAGUAUGUGCACACUUUAUAUUUAUAUUUUGAAAAUUAUUGCAAGAUUGCCUUCAAAAAUGUGGUUAACAACUUUAUCUUCAAAUGGCAAUGAAUGAGAUUGCCAGCUUUCCUACAGCCUCACAGACAAUGGAUUUUAUAAAUAUUUAACAUUUUUGCCAAUGUGAUCACCCAAACUAUUGUCUUAAAUUGUAUCUCUUUUGUUUUUGAGUUUGGUCAUUUUUUCAUGUUUAUUAGCCAUCUGUAUUUUUUAAUUUCUUCUUUAUGUCCAAUUUUGUGGGUGGGAGGAGGAUUUAGUCUCUUCCUGAUUUCGAAGAGCUCAUUUACUAUUUCGGGAAAUAAGAUUUGGAUUGUCAACCAUUAUAGCUAUUUUUUACACACUUUUCAACUUUGUUUUUGUUAUAAGAAUGUGUAUGAUUGUUACAUGUCCAAGUAUAACCAUGUUCGCUUUUAUGGCUUCUGAGUUUCAUGUCAUUUUUGGAAAGAUAUAUAUAUUGAGUCCAUAAAACCCUUCACCUAUGUUAAAUUCUAAUUCUUUUGUGUUUUUUUAAUUCAAAUUCUUAAAUCAUGAGAAAUUUUUUUGUUUUGAAAUCUUAAAGUUGCCAAGUUACUUGCCAUUACUUGCGAUUAUUUGCCAAUAAUUGCCCAUUUAUCUGUACCGCCAUCUUGCGCAUAUGCUGUACUCUCAUCUGUGACUGGCUCCAUUUUUGUUCUGUGGAUUUGUGUGUCUCUUCUUCUGCCUCCUGUCUCGUGUCUGCUCGUUGGAAGAAAUUACAGUUUAGACUGCAAUUUCAUCAACUUUAAUAAAUCAAUUGAGGGGAGAAUUGGUUUUUAAAAAUAUUAAGUAAGUCUUCGUAUCCAAGGACAAGGUAUGUCUUUUCUUAUUCAAUAAUUUUAAUUACUGUUAAUAUUUUCACUGUGGUGAUGGGAGUUUUUCUUUUAAUUUAUUUUCUUGUUCAUUUUUUGUAUCUAAAGUUUUUGUUUUGUUUUGUUUUGGGGGUAAGUUGUCACCUUACUGUUUCUUGUUGCUUUUCAGAUUUUUUCAAAGUAUAGACUAAAUCCUUCACAAAUAUUUAAAGUUUUUAUUUUCCCCCUUCAUAUUGAUCCUGAUUUUAGUUAUGUUGACAAAGUCCACAGACUGUUACUAUCAGAACACUUGAACAGUUAUGGAAAUAUUACCUACCCUUGAUUUAAUCAGAGUUUAAUGGUAUGCUUCUUUGGUUUGACUGGCACAUUGUCGCUGGUCAUUUCCUCCCAAAGACCACCAGAAAGAGCUAUGAUCAAGCAAAGCUGAGUUUGUUAAACUUACCUGCAGCAAGGGAAAACACCACCUUGAUAGGGUUUAAUAAUGUUUCAAAAUCAAGAAAUGAGGCUUUGGGGUCUGGGCAGGGAACUAAUUAGAAAUGGGCAAAAUUUGUCAUGCAAUACCUUGUGGGAAAGUGAGAUGAGGUUCUUAAUGUGAGUAUUGAUGGUGAAAUCAUUUUCUAGGUGAGCUGUUUGCCUAUAUAAAGAUGUUAUCAAUGACAGAAGAACUAUUUGCCUAGAUAAACAAACUGAAUUUAUUUAUUGGUUUACAGUUUUAUCUUGCUGGGCAGGACUCUGCUGGGGGUGGUAUCAGGUCUUAUUCCCAAUAGGUAAGUUAUUUGGAUAUGGGUGGUCUUAAUCAUCAAUGUGUAAAAUGCUGAUUUUAAGUGCGAAAUACUUUGUCUACCAUGUUAGGAAAGUCUGCCACCUUUUAUCUUUUUUAAGGAAUUUUAAUCAAAACCAGGUGGUAGAUAUAAUCAAAUUGUUUUGCAGAAUCAAUUUUCCUGUUCUCUUUAAAGACUUUUAUCACUGUGAAUUAAUUUACUAUUAUUGCAACUUCCUUUAAUUCCUUGAAUGAACAGACCCUACUGGUUUUAAAAAUGUUUUAUUCUUUUAAUUUACUACUUAAUUGUGGGUAUUUUAAUUUGAUUUGGAAUUUUUACAAGUAUACAACUAAGUGAAAUUGAUCUGUGAUUUUUCUUUUUUGUGCUAUUUUUGUCAUGUUUUGAUAUCAGAUAUUCUGGUUGUGUUAAAAUAAUUUUGAGGAUUUUCUUCUUAUACUGUGUUCUAGAGUGGGUAAAAAAGCCCUAGUCUCACUAUCAGUGUUUAAGUGAACACAUCAGUGACAUCAUCUGGACUCUCCUUUGUUUUUGCUGGUUUGGAGUUAGGACAUCUAGAAGUUUUUUUCUUUUUUUCCUUUUUUUGUAUGGUUAUUGCUUGUUCUUUGUUUUGUGUCAAAUUUAACCUGUUUUCUCUUAGCAAAUCACAGCUCAUGCAGAUUUUCAAACACAUUAGCCUUGUUAUACAAAGUGUUCUUUCAUCAUUCUAUUAAAUUUCCAUUUUCAUUCCAGUUAUAGUUAUUUCUGCUGUGCCUUUGUUAAUGAAUAAGUUUAAACAGUGGAUGUUUAGCAUCACUAGCCUUCCCCUUCCAUCUCCCUUAAUCAGGACCUUGGUAUAAUUUAUCAGGUAUUUUUUAAGGUUCUAAUUUACUUAUAUAUAUUGUUUCUGUAUUCUUUUGUUUCUUUUCUUAAUAAAUUCUUAAA